rnacentral:lncRNA from 1 species
GUAAUCAAGCAUCAGAGGAGCCUGAGCGUAAUGUUAAUGUUCUGAGUGCUUCUGAAGUGACAGGAAGUGGUGCAUAUGCCCAGGGACAAAGCCAAGUUGAGGAGCAGAACCACAGUAGCUUGAGGAAGGAAUAGGUGAGAGUAGUGAUCCACCUGCCUCGGCCUCCCAAAGUGCUGGGAUUACAGGCGUGAGCCACCGCGUCCAGCCAAUUGGUGGGUUCCUGGUCUCACUGACUUCAAGAAUGAAGCCACGGACCCUCGCAAUGCUGUUACGAACUUCCCUUAGAAUCAACCCAUUUGUGAAACACCACAUUAAUAAGAGCAGUAUCUUUGGAGAUUGGAGAGUCCACCAAGGAUGCCCACUGGCUCCCUACAAAGUUUUUUAUGUGAGGACUCGGUCUCAGAUAUGGCUACUGGGAUUCUGUUCAAACUGAGUGAAGACAUCAUCAUCUUUCUUUGAGAUCUUCCUUGCUUUCUGGCCAAAGAAGUUAUUCCCUGACCCGACUUUCCAAAGAGUACUAGUUCCUUUUAGCAGUGAUUAGAAACCUGAUCUGAGUACUACUGUGUGUGCUUGUGACUAGUGUGGUUUUAUUGUUUCUAUGUCCUUUCAGCGAGCAGAUCUACAAUGAGGGAUACAUCUAAACAAAACUCCAUAUUAAUAAGUCCAGUUGAAAUCUAACAACAUAGGGUUCUUUCGCAUUCUCUUGCAUUCCAUAUUUGUAUAUUCGUUCACCCAUGGUGGCAACCCUGGCUAUUAGAAAUAUAAUUGUAUUUAUUUUGCUGUAUCCUACAAUAAAACAAAAAAAUUAAGAAUUACUAUACCAACAUCAUGAUAAAAAUACACAUACUAAGUAAAUCUGUUAUGUAAACUACAAGUGUGUUUGUAGCAUUUUUGUUUUUACACUAUAGCCUACUAAGUGUGCAAUUAGACUUCUUGCUCACUGGUUUCUGUUUACUUUUAAUUUUAGUAUUUACUCUUGUUUCCCUUCCUUUUUAAUUUUAUUUUUAAAAUUUAUAUAAGAUUUAUACUUU